UACGUAGGUGGCAAGCGUUAUCCGGAUUUACUGGGUGUAAAGGGCGUGUAGGCGGGUCUGCAAGUCAGAUGUGAAAUCUCCGGGCUUAACUCGGAAGGGUCAUCUGAAACUACGGAUCUUGAGUACUGGAGAGGAUAGUGGAAUUCCUAGUGUAGCGGUAAAAUGCGUAGAUAUUAGGAGGAACACCAGUGGCGAAGGCGGCUAUCUGGACAGUAACUGACGCUGAGGCGCGAAAGCGUGGGGAGCAAACAGGAUUAGAUACCCCCGUAGU
rnacentral:rRNA from 1 species